rnacentral:tRNA from 1 species
GGCUCCAUAGUGCAGUGGUUAGCACGUCUGCUUUACACGCAGAAGGUCCUGGGUUCGUGCCCCAGGUGAAGCCA